GGCGAGGGUUGCGGGUUCGGUGGGCUCCUCGUUCUUUCUUUGCGUUUCGUGGCGGCCUGGGAGCAGCACCGCAGAGCGGUGAGCCGCGGACACGGCCCGUCGUCCCGGGAAAGGCUCCCUGCAGAGCUGUGGUUAAGUCUGUCUGCCCUGUGUCCACCCUGGGGCGUCCAGCUUUGUCCAGUAGGCAGCAAUGUUCGCACAAUGCUGGGUGUAAAUAAAAUAAUAAUAAUAAUAAUAAAACUAUCAAAAUCAGGGAAGCUAAUGUUACGUUCCAAAAUUAGGUGGCUUGUGUGAUGUUGAAAAUCGCAAUUAAGAAUUUCUAGAAAGCGUGUUCAGAAGUCACCCCGGAGCUCCACCCCUCAGAGCAAUUCCAUCCAUUCAAGGUUGAAACAGAGUAACAAACUUCUAAUCCCCUUAGCCCUCUACACCACUACCGUAGCGGACUUAUUUACUCUCUAAUAGCCGAACAGUUGACUCCUUGAUUUCGAAUCUGCGUGGAUUUGACCAUGAAUCGUUCACAAUGGAGCAAACUUUACCUUGAAUCAGUCAGACGAAUUUGGGCCUGGUGUGCUUGGAGAUAAAAGCGUGGCUCACUGAAGACUUGGAUGAUCUUGGAACUCACCAAAGACGUCCUAACUGGGCAAGGAAAAACAAGAAACAUUUAGUUCACCCCUCAGAUGGAGACACGGCACCCCACAAGAAUGACCUGUAACAAUCAUCUCAGCUCAGACCACAGGACCCUUAUGAAUACAAGGGACACCGCAUUCUACCAGGAACUGCACAGCAGGAAAGAACCCCCUGGGACUUGAAGGGCUGGAGGAAUCGACUGGCGGAGAAUAGAACACUUUAGACUGAAGGGUCCAGGAAUAUAGAAAUAUGAAAUUACAAGCUUAAGAGAUAAAAACUGACAAUCAUCAUCUCUAAAGGUUAACUGCUAACAAUGGCUGUCCGCUUUACAGCCAGCUCCUCUGUCAGCAGCCAGGGGUGAACUUUUAACCCCCCUGCCCCUUACAGUCAACAACUGCCUGGACCAAAGUUAACUUUUAAUCGUUGUUUCUACGUGACUCCUAGCAUGCACCCGUGCCUGAUACUAUAAAAGGGGGCCAGUACCUGCCUUCAUGGCCACAGCCCCAGAAUUCCAACAUUGGCUGUGGUCUCAGCUAGCUGAUAAGCUUUUGUGCCCUGCAGUGUUUUAUUUUAAUUUUUCUGGAAUAAAGUUUGCUUCUGGUUUAAUAGACUUUGGUGGUCUGUUCCCCAUUAUUGAGUGACCCCGGAUCCAACAAGAAGAUCAAUAAUAAGAAUGAAACAAAGCAAUUUGAGAAGGCUAGAGCAGUGUUUCCUGAAGCCCAGGACAUUUAUCACAUUUUAGGUGGCUCACAGUCCGAUGAGUCAUUAUGAAGUGAUAGAAUUAUUACUCAAAGGGCUCUAGCAGGCCCAAGCAUGGCAAACCUGGCACCAACAGGCCCAUUCCCUCUCCCUUGCUAAAAACCAUUCGAUGACAUUCCUAAAGCUAGCCCCCAAGGCUUAUUCCCUUAUUUGGCCACUGACUCAUUCCUGAGAUAAAACACCAAGGUCCAA